UUAACUGCGAAGUUUGGUCUGAAGGAAGGCGGACGCACAACUGCGAUCUGAUGAACAAAAAUAUCAUAUGAGGCGUAGGCUGGAGGCGGGUUGGCACAAGACGACGAAGCCAUGUGAUCUAACGGCCACCGUCAAUGGUGCAGUUGCGCAGGGACGGAUCAUGUU
rnacentral:ncRNA from 1 species